CAGGCAGGUCUAAUCUGGGAGUGGCCUCCAAGGCCUGGAUCUGUUCCAGAAAGCAGCCCUAGGAAGUCCCUGGAGAGGCUACAAAUCCUAUGGGCAAGUAACACUCCCUAACUAGUCUUCCAAGAUUUCCCCCAACUCCAACUCAUUCUUGACACUGUAGCCAGUGAUUUCUUAAGAGUCACUCCCCCUCCCCCACCGGCUCACAUAGAAACUUUCAGUUCAGCAGUGAACACCCUUCCCAGCCCGGCCCCUCGCCCUAAAUGCGCUCCUCCCCUCCAUCUCCCACCGUCUGCACUCGCUGAACCCCACACCUGGAAUGCUCUGGCUCUUUGCCUCCUAUUCUUGGCUUCCUUCAAGGCUUAGCUCUCAUUCCCGCUUCUGUCCCAGGCCUUUCCGGAUCCCCGGGCACCCUCCCCUCUGACAGUCCCGUCUAUCUACCCCGUCUGAAUCUUGGCCUUCGCACGCUGCCUCCUGCGUUAGACUCGGAGCUCCUGGGGACAGGCACUGGGCUUUGCCUUUCACUGUAUCGCCAGGACUCAGCACCGCGACUGGCACGUGCGUUUAGCACAGCCCCUGGCACACAGUGCGAGCUAAAUAUGUUUACUGAAUUGAAGACAGGCUGCAAACGCGUGGAGAACGGCCAAGGGUGGUGGAACUGAGUGCGUGCCGGCCCAGACAUGCCCGGCUAAGGUGGGGAGGGCCAGUUACCUCGGCUGGCCGCCGGACAAGUUUCCGGCCUCAGCACCCUUCAAAAGCCAUCGGCGCAGGGAGAGAGGGGCUGCGAUCUGCACGUCCUAAUCUGGAUCGCGGGCGGCGCCAACGUUCCAUCCUCCUGCGGCGGUCUAUAGCGUCCGGGACAAAGCCGGGGCUGCAGCCAUGGCGGUCAAAGUCCGUGUGGUUUACUGGUGAGCCGCUCUGGCGCUGGGAGAUCCCCUCGGGGAGGCGUGCAUGGUGGGGCCCGGCUGUGACGGGGCCCCCAGCCCCCAGCCACCCACGCCCGUGUGCACGGGAGCCUGUCCAGGAAAGAGCUCCUCUCCGGAACCUCCCAGGGGAGCCGAAACUGGGGCGCG
rnacentral:lncRNA from 1 species